rnacentral:rRNA from 1 species
CCUACGGGAGGCAGCAGUGGGGAAUAUUGCACAAUGGGGGAAACUCUGAUGCAGCGACGCCGCGUGAGUGAAGAAGUAUUUCGGUAUGUAAAGCUCUAUCAGCAGGGAAGAAAAUGAUGGUAUCUGAUUAAGAAGCCCCGGCUAACUACGUGCCAGCAGCCGCGGUAAUACGUAGGGGGCAAGAGUUAUCCGGAUUUACUGGGUGGAAAGGGAGCGUAGACGGCAGCACAAGUCUGGAGUGAAAUGCCGGGGCUUAACCCCGGAACUGCUUUGGAAACUGUGCAACUAGAGUGCAGGAGAGGUAAGUGGAAUUACUAGUGUAGCGGUGGAAUGCGUAGAUAUUAGGAGGAACACCAGUGGCGAAGGCGACUUACUGGACUGUAACUGACGUUGAGGCUCGAAAGCGUGGGGAGCAAACAGGAUUAGAUACCCCUGUAGUC